UGGAAGAGCAGCCAGUAUUAUCUACU
rnacentral:piRNA from 1 species